UAGGAUGAACGCUAGCUACAGGCUUAACACAUGCAAGUCGAGGGGCAGCAUGGUCUUAGCUUGCUAAGGCCGAUGGCGACCGGCGCACGGGUGAGUAACGCGUAUCCAACCUGCCUUACACUCUUGGACAGCCUUCUGAAAGGGAGAUUAAUACAAGAUGUUAUCAUGAGUAAGCAUUUUCGCAUGAUUAAAGGUUUACCGGUGUAAGAUGGGGAUGCGUUCCAUUAGAUAGUAGGCGGGGUAACGGCCCACCUAGUCUUCGAUGGAUAGGGGUUCUGAGAGGAAGGUCCCCCACAUUGGAACUGAGACACGGUCCAAACUCCUACGGGAGGCAGCAGUGAGGAAUAUUGGUCAAUGGACGAGAGUCUGAACCAGCCAAGUAGCGUGAAGGAUGAAGGUUCUAUGGAUUGUAAACUUCUUUUAUACGGGAAUAAACGAAUCCACGUGUGGAUUUUUGCAUGUACCGUAUGAAUAAGGAUCGGCUAACUCCGUGCCAGCAGCCGCGGUAAUACGGAGGAUCCGAGCGUUAUCCGGAUUUAUUGGGUUUAAAGGGAGCGUAGAUGGGUUGUUAAGUCAGUUGUGAAAGUUUGCGGCUCAACCGUAAAAUUGCAAUUGAUACUGGCAGUCUUGAGUACAGUUGAGGUAGGCGGAAUUCGUGGUGUAGCGGUGAAAUGCUUAGAUAUCACGAAGAACUCCGAUUGCGAAGGCAGCUUACUAACCUGUAACUGACAUUGAUGCUCGAAAGUGUGGGUAUCAAACAGGAUUAGAUACCCUGGUAGUCCACACGGUAAACGAUGAAUACUCGCUGUAGGCGAUAUACAGUCUGCGGCCAAGCGAAAGCAUUAAGUAUUCCACUUGGGGAGUACGGCGGCAACGGUGAAACUCAAAGGAAUUGACGGGGGCCCGCACAAGCGGAGGAACAUGUGGUUUAAUUCGAUGAUACGCGAGGAACCUUACCCGGGCUUAAAUUGCAACCGAAUAUGGCGGAAACGCUAUAGCUAGCAAUAGCGGUUGUGAAGGUGCUGCAUGGUUGUUGUCAGCUCGUGCCGUGAGGUGUCGGCUUAAGUGCCAUAACGAGCGCAACCCUUGCCGAUAGUUACUAACAGGUCAUGCUGAGGACUCUGUCGGGACUGCCAUCGUAAGAUGUGAGGAAGGUGGGGAUGACGUCAAAUCAGCACGGCCCUUACGUCCGGGGCUACACACGUGUUACAAUGGGGGGUACAGAGGGCUGGUACCACGCAAGUGGAUGCCAAUCCCAAAAACCUCUCUCAGUUCGGAUUGAAGUCUGCAACCCGACUUCAUGAAGCUGGAUUCGCUAGUAAUCGCGCAUCAGCCACGGCGCGGUGAAUACGUUCCCGGGCCUUGUACACACCGCCCGUCAAGCCAUGGGAGCCGGGGGUACGUGAAGUGCGUAACCGCAAGGAGCGCCCUAGGGUAA
rnacentral:rRNA from 1 species